rnacentral:rRNA from 1 species
GACGGAGGGUGCAAGCGUUGUUCGGAAUUACUGGGCGUAAAGCGUACGUAGGCGGCGGGUUAAGUCGAAUGUUAAAGCCUGGGGCUCAACCCCAGAGAUGCAUUCGAUACUGGCCUGCUAGAGGGCGAUAGAGGAAAGUGGAAUUCCCAGUGUAGCGGUGAAAUGCGUAGAUAUUGGGAGGAACAUCAGUAGCGAAGGCGACUUUCUGGGUCGCACCUGACGCUGAGGUACGAAAGCGUGGGGAGCAAACGGG